UCAAGCAAGACAUUAUAUUCAAAAUAACACAGAAUAUAGAACUAUGUAUGGUACUUUUGUGCUUGGGGAACCCAAAGUGAAAAUAAUGGAAGGUUUUCUGGAGCAGAUGUUUUGAUGAAUUCUUGAAAAGGAAAAAGGUUUAAAAGAGUAGAAGAAGGAAUUUAAAGUCAAGAAAAUAACAGUAGAUGGCAUUUUCUGUCCAAAGUCUAUUGGGAUUGCCUUGGACCAUUGAACCCCCGAGAAGAACCAAGUCGUUCAUAACUGAACAUAUCACACGUUCUUGAUAUUAAGUGUACAACGCCUUCCUGGUUCUGCCUGUUUCACUCAGCAUCAAUUUGUGUAACAUUUCCAGGACUUUCUAAAAUCAUCUUGUUGAUCAUUUUUAUAGAAAUAAUAAACCGUUAUUUUCACAUACCACAA